AACUGGAGGAAGGUGGGGAUGACGUCAAAUCAUCAUGCCCCUUAUGACCUGGGCUACACACGUGCUACAAUGGACAGAACAAAGGGCAGCGAAACCGCGAGGUUAAGCCAAUCCCACAAAUCUGUUCUCAGUUCGGAUCGCAGUCUGCAACUCGACUGCGUGAAGCUGGAAUCGCUAGUAAUCGCGGAUCAGCAUGCCGCGGUGAAUACGUUCCCGGGCCUUGUACACACCGCCCGUCACACCACGAGAGUUUGUAACACCCGAAGUCGGUGAGGUAACCUUUCUAGGAGCCAGCCGCCGAAGGUGGGACAGAUGAUUGGGGUGAAGUCCGAACAAGGU
rnacentral:rRNA from 3 species